rfam:Trichobilharzia regenti genome assembly, scaffold: TRE_scaffold0001900
AUCCACCUGACGAGUCCCAACUAGGAAGAAAUGCGCAUCCUGGAU